rnacentral:rRNA from 1 species
UAAUACGGAGGAUUCAAGCGUUAUCCGGAUUUAUUGGGUUUAAAGGGUGCGUAGGCGGUUUGAUAAGUUAGAGGUGAAAUCCCGGGGCUUAACUCCGGAACUGCCUCUAAUACUGUUAGACUAGAGAGUAGUUGCGGUAGGCGGAAUGUAUGGUGUAGCGGUGAAAUGCUUAGAGAUCAUACAGAACACCGAUUGCGAAGGCAGCUUACCAAACUAUAUCUGACGUUGAGGCACGAAAGCGUGGGGAGCAAACAGGAUUAGAUACCCUGGUAGUCCACGCAGUAAACGAUGAUAACUCGUUGUCGGCGAUACACAGUCGGUGACUAAGCGAAAGCGAUAAGUUAUCCACCUGGGGAGUACGUUCGCAAGAAUG